rnacentral:rRNA from 1 species
AGAGUUUGAUCCUGGCUCAGGACGAACGCUGGCGGUGCGCCUUAUGCAUGCAAGUCGAGCGAAGCUUUUCAGUAGUUUACUACAGAAAAUGACUGAGCGGCGAACGGGUGAGUAACGCGUGAGCAAUCUACCUUAGUUACAGGGAUAGCCCGAGGAAACUCGGAUUAAUACCUGAUAUUCUUUAUAUUUCGCAUGAAAUCAAAAGGAAAGGUCAGCCGAACUAAGAUGAGCUCGCGUUCUAUCAGCUAGUUGGUGAGGUAAAAGCUCACCAAGGCAACGACGGAUAGCUGGUCUGAGAGGACGAUCAGCCACACUGGGACUGAGACACGGCCCAGACUCCUACGGGAGGCUGCAGCAGGGAAUAUUGCGCAAUGAGCGAAAGCUUGACGCAGCGACACCGCGUGUGGGAUGACGGAUCUAGGUUUGUAAACCACUUUCAGGAGGGAAGAAAAUGACGGUACCUCCACAAGAAGCCCCGGCCAACUACGUGCCAGCAGCCGCGGUAAUACGUAGGGGGCGAGCGUUGUCCGGAUUUAUUGGGCGUAAAGAGCUCGUAGGCGGUUCAACAAGUCGGUCGUAAAAGUUCAGGGCUCAACCCUGAAAUGUCGAUCGAUACUGUUGUGACUAGGAUACGGUAGAGGUGAGUGGAAUUCCGAGUGUAGCGGUGAAAUGCGUAGAUAUUCGGAGGAACACCAAUUGCGAAGGCAGCUCACUGGGCCGCUAUCGACGCUGAGGAGCGAAAGCUAGGGGAGCAAACAGGAUUAGAUACCCUGGUAGUCCUAGCUGUAAACGAUGGAUACUAGACGUAGGAACUGGAUUGACGGUUUCUGUGUCGUAGCUAACG